GCUUGGAAUCCUGGCGGUUUGUGUGUUGCCAUUCAUUGUCCUCUUUUGCUUAUAAAUUUAUGCAAAGCAGACACACCUAACUUUCUACUUAAACCCUCGAAGCUCCCAGCCAUACAGACUCCCUACUCAAAGGUUGAUGUUCCUCUGAGACCCAAGCGGUUCCUCCACAAUGCUGCCCUUAUUGCCCAUACUGAUUGCAUUGGUUACCUGCUACUCAGGUGUGAUCUCAGAGGUGGUGCUGACUCAGUCAGAUUCAGUGCUUAAAAAACCCGGAGACUCCCAUAAACUGACCUGCUCCGUCACUGGGUUCGAUCCUGACAGCUAUUGGAUGGACUGGGUCAGACAGAAACCUGGCAGUGGACUGGAAUGGCUUGUUAGCUAUUUAACAUCUGGGAGCACCAAUUAUUAUUCUCCUACCAUCCAAGGGCGAUUCACAGCCUCAAAAGAUAGCUCCAACUUCUAUCUACAAAUGGCCAAUCUCAAGGUGGAGGACUCAGCGGUGUAUUACUGUGCAAGAGACACAGUGAAAGGAAUCCAGGAGAUUUAAGCCAAAAACCUUUCACUGUGUCAGC